rnacentral:lncRNA from 1 species
CACACUUUAUAGUUUAGGAUCAAAUUCAGCUUAUGCACCAGGGAUUCAGAAAUCGGCAGGCUCUGGAGAUGCUGUGACCAUAUCGCUUUUGGUUAUUUUUAUUUAUCUAUUUGUAUGAUUUUCAGAAAUAAUUUGGUUGAUUUUUUUUCCUCUUUGGAGGAAAUCUCAUAUCACAGCUGCUAUGUUUAUGGAAUAUUUUGAUUGGACACGAGAAUAUUCCAAAAUAUUGUUCAUAAACGCUGAAUGACUUAGGUUUUUACUGCAGAUAUGAGUGAACAGAAGUUUAGUUUGAAAAAGGCCGCUUUCAGUCAAACUGCAUGGGAGGCGAUUCACUGAUUGCCUUAUUUAAGUUAAAAGUUGUACAUCAGAUAUUCUUCUAGACAUGGCUAUAUGGACACAUUGUUUGAUACUGUUAUGUUCCUGUUUUCUAGCUUCGAACACUACUCACUCAUUCCUCUUGACUCAGUCUCCAGGACUCACACUCGUCUCAGUCGGUGGUUCUGUAGAGUUAAGAUGUAUAUUUGAGCAGACCCUAAGGUACUGCUAUACCUCUGCUGCAUGGAAAAAGAUGAAUCUACGGACUGGAAAACUCACGACAGUGAAUAGUAGCUAUGAGAAUAAUGUCCUUCAGCCUGAUGAUAAAACCUGUGUUUUGACUCUCAAACACGUAACCAAGACAGAUUCAGGCUUGUAUUAUUGCAUGACCAGAUUUAAUGACAUGGCUGUCGUCGGCAAUGGGAGCAGGGUGAUCGUUAAAGAUCGAUCUGAACAAAAACUCUCCAUCUUAUACACACCACAUGAACCUGAUUCACCAUCAGUAUCACUGCAGUGUCUCGUGACUGGACUUGUCCCGUCUCAGGUGCGUGUGUUCUGGAUGAUUGGACAGAAUGUGUAUUCUGGAUGGACCGAGUCCGGCUGGACAGACAACACUGAUUCAGCCACAGAAUUCACUCGAGCUCAUCUCUCUGUUUCUGAAGAGGAGUGGAAAGAAGCCAGUAAAAUUCAGUGUUUUGCUGAAUAUGAUGGCAAGAACAUCUCCAAAACUCUGAACCGAAGCGGAGCUGAACCUGCAAUCAUCUCGUGGCUUGUGUACUCUGGCUGUGUGGCAGCGCUCCUGACCAUACUUCUAACUCUGAUUAUGUCUGUGGGAUUAUACAGAGAUAUGUUGAUGACCAAAAAAUCCAAACGGCUCAUGAGAAAAGAUGCCCACCGCAAAAUUUCAUAUGGUAAACAGAACACACUUCGAGAAGAGAGUCCAUCUGUUAUGGUAGGAGGCAGAAAUGAAGAUGAUGAACAUUGAAGUGAAUCACAAAAAAAAAAAAAAAAAACAGUUUCUGCUGUUUCAGAAGAAAUAUUAUUUAAAUAAUAAACAGAUUUUAAAUAUCUAUCAUACAAUAUGAACAUGGAUUGAUGUAGCAAUAUUUAAUUUAUUUACAAAAACUACAUGAUAAAUGCAAUCUACCAGUAUGUUUAAGCCAAAUAAUCUGUGCAUAUAUAAUAUGGGUAUGUUACAGUACUUUUAUUGGUGAUAUUGGUAAAGGUUUUAGCAUUUGAUCAGUACCUAAACAGAACUACCUAAAAAAGUUUUUUUUACAUUUAUUUAUUUACAAUUAUUUAAAAUGAUUUCCUAAAUCUUCUGAAGUUAUAUGAUAGUCCUGUGCGAGGAACAAAGUGAGACUGAAAAUCUUUGGGACUGUUCUCCUGUACAUUUUAAUUGAAUGCAGACAACCAUGUUCAAAUGUGUAGAAUAGAAAAUUAAAGAUUUUCAGUAAUGACGGCUUAAACUUUGGUCUGGUCCUCACAGUUUUUGUCUUGGACAUUUUGUAUCACUUUAAUUAAUUGUGUUAAAUUUUGUCCUCUUUGGAGCUUGACAGAGGAGGUCAUGAAUGUUGUGAAAUAAUAAUAAUAAUAAUAAUAAUAAUAAAAAUGUAGAUUCUUUAAAAGUGUUCCUUUUUAUUACAUGGCUCUCUGGAUCUCUUGAUUGUUGCAUUGAGCUGUCAAUAUUUGUCAUUAUUCAUAAUUCACUAUAUUUCUUAAUUGGCAAAUAAUAGAAAUAAUGGAGCAAACCAUUCCUUCAAGCAAACACACAACAGAUAAACAAAUCUUUAGAGUGUGAAAAAUUGCAAAUAUUUGAUCGGGGGAAAUAAUACUUUGCAAACUUUUAAUUAAACAAAUCUUUUGGUCAUUUCAUAUACUUCAGCUUGCAUUUUAUAAUGUAAAUAUUUUGUCCUGUGUUUCUCUGGGAUCUUAUCGGUCAUGGACAGGAUGUUGGUCCAUCAAGAGAAUAAAGGUAAUACAAAAGCAUAAUUUGUAAUGAUAUGAAUUACAUGAAACAGCAAAGUUCCCUUGCAAACUUAUAUAACUUGUAAAUACACUUGUUAGGAUCAUUUUUGCAUGGACUUGAGUUUUUCUUUCUUUGUUUUUCAGCGGGGAAGAGGAAAUGUUGGAGUAUGCUAAAACAUUUAAUUCCUGAAAUCAUAUAUAUUGUUAACUCAUAUAUCUUAAAAUAACACGAUUGCCUGUUCUGGUUUUAUUAUGUCCAUGUUAAUGAAUAUUUCUUAGGAACUGUUUCAUUUAUUUGUUUGUUUUUAUAAUUAUCUUCUUUUGUUGUUUUUUUUUUAUUGUCCUCUUGAAAAUUUGUUUAAUAAUGCUCCUCAUAAGCUACAUCAUAAAAGUAAAUGUUUCCUGAGCAGCAAAUCAGCUAGUACAAUUAUUUCUGAAAUCUCUGAAACAAUUUUAAUAUGAAAAUUUGGCAAUCGUUCAAAUACAUUUUAAUUUAAAAGUGAUAAUAAAGAAAAAACUUAAUUUUUAAAUUACAAUAAUAUUUAGUAUUAUUGUUUUUACAUCACAUAAAUUCACUAAAUGGUAGCAUUGUUAACUAUCAUGAGAUCUCUUUUCCUACAUUUCUGAUAUGUGCAGGACUGAACAGCAAAGCUACAGUUCAACUUUUCUUCCCUGGUGGCCCAUCAAAUUAAAAUUAAUCUUAAUGUUACUUUUCAUUUUACUUUUUUUUUUUUUUUUCCGAGAGGGUUAAAAACUCACAGUGAAUGAAACAGGAAAGUGUAUGGCCUCUUGCUGUAGUCUUCACACUCUCAUUUAACAGCUUGUGGUUAGACAGAAGCGGCAUAACAGGAUGUUAGAAGAGACAAAGGUCUCAUGAAACAGAGAUGCAAAACUACUUUCACUGUCCAUUGUUGCAGCGACUCCACUGGCAUUACUUAAGCCUUGAUAUAAAACUAUCUGAAUUUUGCCUAAUAUUGUCAUCUAAUGUUCUCCAUCCCUACAGUAUGUCAAUAUCCACACUGAGAGUUAUGAAAUACUCAGAUGAUCAAUUAAACUAGUCUGCACAUCUUUAUUAACAAAGCAUUCAAAAUAAAACAUUAUAUAGGCUAAUGAAAAAUAGGUUAGUGUUGACAUAUUGACACAUAACGUUGAAUUAGAGCAGAAUUGUGAACAGCUAUUACAUUGACUAGUUUUCCUCUUUUAUAUUAUGCAGAUUUACAGAUCUUAGAGUUUUCUGAAUUAAGAAAGUAACAUAAUUUUAGUAUUUCUAAUUGUAUGUUGUGUAUUAAAGGUGGAUUUUUUUAAAUUACUUAAAUUAAGAGUUUUGUGUGUCCUGUUUUGACAUGCAGUUAUAAUAUAUUUACUAUCUUGACCCUGGAAACAGAUGUUUCUGUCUGAGGUGCAGGUGGAGGAACAGUACUCUCAGUUUGAGAGUGAGGGUGUGGGUGUUGAGCAUUGGCCGUUCUUACACCAUGCUGCUCUUUUCAUCUCACACCCGUGUGGUUAGAUCUGAACAAGUGACUGCAAACAAAUUGUACAAAGAUUUUCAGAAAGCAGAGAGUUAAACGGCUAGAAGAACAGCUUCUUAACCUGUAGCGGAAAACACAAAGAAAUCCAUUAAAAUAAUAAUAAAUGUUUGUUCAAAUCCUUAAUACUGUGAGCAAUAUUUGCUAUUUUGCUGUUCUUGCCCUAUAGCAAACACCAUUAAUCAAUAAAUUGUAUUAAACUUAAUAAAUAGAUAAUUGUAUUCUCUAUGUAUGUUUUUUUUUUUCAUUUAUU